UACGUAGGUGGCAAGCGUUGUCCGGAUUUAUUGGGUUUAAAGGGUGCGUAGGCGGCCCUGUAAGUCAGUGCUGAAAUACCCCGGCUUAACCGGGGGGGUGGCAUUGAUACUGCAGGGCUUGAGUACAGAUGAGGUAGGCGGAAUUGACGGUGUAGCGGUGAAAUGCUUAGAUAUCGUCAAGAACACCGAUAGCGAAGGCAGCUUACUAGACUGUAACUGACGCUGAGGCACGAAAGUGUGGGGAUCAAACAGG
rnacentral:rRNA from 1 species